rnacentral:rRNA from 1 species
UACAGAGGUGGCAAGCGUUGUUCGGAAUUACUGGGCGUAAAGAGCGUGUAGGCGGCCAGACAGGUCCGUUGUGAAAACUAGAGGCUUAACCUCUAGACGUCGAUGGAAACCGUUUGGCUAGAGUCCGGAAGAGGAGAAUGGAAUUCCUGGUGUAGCGGUGAAAUGCGCAGAUAUCAGGAAGAACACCCGUGGCUAAGGCGGUUCUCUAGUACGGUACUGACGCUGAGACGCGAAAGCGUGGGGAGCGAACAGG